rnacentral:rRNA from 1 species
UACGUAGGGUGCAAGCGUUGUCCGGAAUCAUUGGGCGUAAAGAGCGUGUAGGCGGCUCGAUAAGUCUGCUGUGAAAGUCCAGGGCUCAACCCUGGAAGGCCGGUGGAAACUGCCGGGCUAGAGUCCGGAAGAGGCGAGUGGAAUUCCCGGUGUAGCGGUGAAAUGCGCAGAUAUCGGGAGGAACACCAAUGGCGAAGGCAGCUCGCUGGGACGGUACUGACGCUGAGACGCGAAAGCGUGGGGAGCAAGCAGG